AUUGAACGCUGGCGGCAGGCCUAACACAUGCAAGUCGAGCGCGAAAGUCUUUCGGGAUGAGUAAAGCGGCGGACGGGUGAGUAAUGCAUGGGAAUCUGCCUGGUAGUGGGGGGACAACGUUUCGAAAGAGACGCUAAUACCGCAUACGCCCUACGGGGGAAAGGGGGGGAAGUCUUCGGACCUCUCGCUAUCAGAUGAGCCCAUGUCAGAUUAGCUUGUUGGUGAGGUAAAGGCUCACCAAGGCGACGAUCUGUAACUGGUCUGAGAGGAUGAUCAGUCACACUGGAACUGAGACACGGUCCAGACUCCUACGGGAGGCAGCAGUGGGGAAUAUUGGACAAUAGGGGGCAACCCUGAUCCAGCCAUGCCGCGUGAGUGAUGAAGGCCUUA
rnacentral:rRNA from 1 species